rnacentral:rRNA from 1 species
AGCAGUGUAUGUCAGACUUCCAAGAAAAGCUCGCAAUGUCAUAAAUAAAGAAUGCCUGUACCAUAACCGACACAGGUGGGUAGGUAGAGUAUACUAAGGGGCGCGAGAUAACUCUCUCUAAGGAACUCGGCAAAAUAACUCCGUAACUUCGGGAGGAGGAGUGCCUUCUUGAAGAAGGUUGCAAUAACAAGAUCCAAGCAACUGUUUAUCAAAAACACAGGUCUCCGCUAAGUCGAAAGACGAUGUAUGGGGGCUGACGCCUGCCCAGUGCCAGAAGGUUAAAGAAGCUGGUUAGCAAUAGCGAAGCUGGUGACUGAAGCCCUGGUGAACGGCGGCCGUAACAAUAACGGUCCUAAGGUAGCGAAAUUCCUUGUCGGGUAAGUUCCGACCCGCACGAAAGGCGUAAUGAUUUGGAUACUGUCUCGGAGAGGGACUCGGUGAAAUAGACUUGUCUGUGAAGAUGCGGACUACCUGCACCAGGACAGAAAGACCCUAUGAAGCUUUACUGUAACUUGAAAUUGAAAUUGGACUUUAUUUGCGCAGUAUAGGUGGAAGGCGUUGAGAUUACUCUUGCGGGAUUAGUGGAGCCAUCAGUGAGAUACCACUCCUAUAAUGUUAGAUUUCUAACUUUGGAUCAUAAUCUGGUCAAAGAACAGUUUCAGGCGGGCAGUUUGACUGGGGCGGUCGCCUCCCAAAUGGUAACGGAGGCGUACAAAGGUUUCCUCUGAACGGGUAGAAAUCGUAUCUAGAGUGUAAAGGCAUAAGGAAGCUUGACUGUGAGACCUACAAGUCGAGCAGGGACGAAAGUCGGUCUUAGUGAUCUGACGGUGCUGAGUGGAAAGGCCGUCACUCAACGGAUAAAAGUUACUCUAGGAUAACAGGCUGAUCUCCCCCAAGAGUUCACAUCGACGGGGAGGUUUGGCACCUCGAUGUCGGCUCAUCGCAUCCUGGGGCGGUAGUACGUCCCAAGGGUUGGGCUGUUCGCCCAUGAAAGCGGUACGCGGGCUGGGUUCAGAACGUCGUGAGACAGUUCGGUCCAUAUCCGGUGUAGGCGUUAGAAUAUUGAGAGGAGCCUUCUUUAGUACGAGAGGACCGAGAAGGACAUACCUCUGGUGUACCAGUUAUCGUGCCAACGGUAAACGCUGGGUAGCUAUGUAUGGAGAGGAUAACCGCUGAAAGCAUCUAAGUGGGAAGCCCACCUCAAGAUGAGUAUUCUCAU